UGGUUUUGGAUGACGAAGAGAGGGAGUACACUUGUCAGCAUCCAUGAAAAGGCCAUGGGUGUUUACGGGAGUGCUCCCUCUCUUUGUCAUUAAACUGCACU
rnacentral:pre_miRNA from 1 species